UCUCGUUAUAUCUGACGUCGGGGAAUGGUAUAUAUACCAGAACUCCAGCGUAGAUACUCGAUGCG